AAACAUUGCCCUGGAUGCUGCUCCCUGAUUGGCCUUUGGAGGGGAGGUGGGUUCUAGGGUGUGGACAUGGUUUUAUGGAUCGUGUGUUCAUGUCAAAACAAGACCAACUUCUGUCCUGAUGUUUGUGGAGUCUGCAUCUGAGCCGGGUAAAACUGGAUCCGACACCAGCCUCUUGUUACCUCACCCCACAGUUUAUUCCUGUACGCUGCUCACUCACACCCUGGUGCUUGUGGUCUGAGAUUUCCCUCAUGUUCAGCGAGUGGGGGAGAAAUACAACUCAGAGAGAAGCGUCACCGAAUCCCACCAGAGUUGAAACCAGACAAGACGAGAUUCCCCGACUCCCACUCUCCUUGUUCCUGGUGUACGGGCCCUGAGCCACUGACCGUCUGCUGACCUUCACCAGACCCACGAGCUGCUGAACUGUCCGCCCCCCCGCCCCGUCCUCGCUUCAGGAUGUCACAUGGACACAAUAAGUGUGUAGCUGUAACCGCGCUGUCCUCGCUCCCAUUGUCACCGAGACAAAGCUGCAGAUUUAUAAGUCCGGCGGGAGAGAGUCGGAAAAAAACCCACGAGUGCAUCGGAGAAGAAAGAGGCUGACCUGACCGGGACGUGACGAGCAUGUGGAGCGUCAAAGAGCAGCGUUACAUAAGACUAUUAAAACCUCAUUCUUUUAAAUGAAACAUUAUUUUCAGACUGACCACAAGGCAGUUUCCCAUCAUGCACUUGUCUGCGUCAAUUCAGGAAUAUUCAGCUAUUUUAAUAAAUCAUUCACUUCUAGAAGGAGAGGUCGUGAGUGACGUGUGAUUUAUGAGCAAAGACUCUGUUGGAUAUUGUUAUUAAAACUGUAUUGCAAAAACAA